AGGCCUGGACCAGGUUUGAUUCUAUAACGGUCCAGCAUCGACGGCCAUCACUGCUGAAUCGAGGCUGUUGCUCUGGCCUGGACCAGUAUCUAUUUCAGUCCCGAUGUAGUCAUAGCUGAUACAGUAAUGUCUGUUCGUCAGCACUGGUCCAGGCUGUAUAUCAGUACUGGAUCAGAUCGAUGCUUUUCAAGAUGGCAGCCCCGCGUGGACUAUCUGACAUGUUUUGUUAAAGAAAAUCAUCUUAAUCUGACUCUUUAAGAGAAAUCUCGUUGGCUGUAUACACUAGGGCUACAUCACUGGAUGUUAUGCUAUUUUGAACCAUUUAUUACUUAAACAUGAGUAGGAUACACGAUAUUUUGAGUAAAAAUAUUGAGCCAAACAUUGAAACAGAGCGAGAAGACCUUUCUGCAAUAAUCAUGACACUAGUGAAGAUGAUGAGAAAUUAGGCGUAAAAAUGGUUCACUACAUGUGAUUGUAACUAUGUUUUUAAUUAGGGUGAAUGUAUUAGUGAUCAUGAUGAUGAAGAUAUUGUACUGAGAGACUUAUGAAUGAUAGUCACAAGUGUGAAUUUUUGAUGCGGAAGAUUAUUCUGGAAAUAUUAGUAUAGCCACUAGUAUACAUUCUAUAGUUACCUUAUCUCACUAAGUUUCAAGACAAGAAUAUCUUAGGUUUGUUUAAUUUCAUGUGAAAAGCUAAAUUCAUUAUUCAGGUUGUGAUGAACUGAAACUUUCUUGUUUAAAGCUCUUGUUAAAUUCACUUCAAAUAGCAUUGAAUUUUUUGUGAACCUGCCUUCAUCAUGCUGGUUAAGGAAGUUAUGUUAUGGAUCUAAGCUUUGUAGGACUAUGUGUUACAAGAUACCUUUAAAAGAUCUGCUUCACUACAUGGAACCCCAGAGUUCAUUAAUGUUGGAGAUUUUUGGAAAUUAAUUUCUCAGUAAUGUGUCUUAAGUUACAAAACAUGAAGUGUCUUACUUGUGGAACAUUGGUAGACUAUGA
rnacentral:lncRNA from 1 species